rnacentral:snRNA from 1 species
AUACUUACCUGGACGGGGUCGAUGGGCGAUCAAGAAGGCCCAUGGCCUAGAUCAGUGGCCCACAUUGCACUUGGUGGGUGCGCUGGUCUACCAUCUCCCCAAGUGGGAGAGUGGAUGUCAUAAUUUGUGGCAGAGGGGGUACGCGUUCGCGCGGCCCCUGC